AGGAAAACAACCAAUAGAAAUAAAAAUCUAAGAAUACAUAAAAAUACAAGACUAAAACUAAUACUCCAAGAAUACGAAAAAGAAAAACACUCAAACUGCCUACUAAAAUGCAAUCCUAAUUCUCAACCUCCACACCCUCUAAUUAUCCUACUCUCCUAAUUCUCGACCUACAAACCUACUAUCCUAAUUCUCGACCUCCACAUCCUCCUAUUAUCCUACUCUCCUAAUUCUCGACCUACUAAACUACUAUCCUAAUUCUCAACCUCUACACCCUGCAAUUAUCCUACUCUCCUAAUUCUCGACCUACUAAACGUCCACACCCUCCUAUUAUCCUACUCUCCAAACCUACUUGCUACUUCCCCGGGAGUAGUGGUAUGGACUGCGUACAUCUUACCCUCCCCAGACCUCACUAUGUAGGAAUACACUGGGUUUGUUGUUGUUGACACCCUCCUAUUAUCCUACACUCCUAAUUCUCGAUCUACUAACCUACUAUCCUAAUUCUCAACCUCCACACCCUCCUAUUAUCCUACUCUCCUAAUUCUCGACCUACUAAACGUCCACACCCUCCUAUUAUCCUACUCUCCAAACCUACUUGCUACUUCCCCGGGAGUAGUGGUAUGGACUGCGUACAUCUUACCCUCCCCGGACCUCACUAUGUGGGAAUACACUGGGUUUGUUGUUGUUGACACCCUCCUAUUAUCCUACGCUCCUAAUUCUCGAUCUACUAACCUACUAUCCUAAUUCUCAACCUCCACACCCUCCUAUUAUCCUACUCUCCUAAUUCUCGACCUACUAACCUACUAUCCUAAUUCUCAACCUACAUUGUUGACACCCUCCUAUUAUCCUACACUCCUAAUUCUCGAUCUACUAACCUACUAUCCUAAUUCUCAACCUCCACACCCUCCUAUUAUCCUACUCUCCUAAUUCUCGACCUACUAAACGUCCACACCCUCCUAUUAUCCUACUCUCCAAACCUACUUGCUACUUCCCCGGGAGUAGUGGUAUGGACUGCGUACAUCUUACCCUCCCC
rnacentral:lncRNA from 1 species